GUUAUUGUGGUUAUUUUAUGCUUCAAGUGCAACAAUCCUACCAAGGACUUCUACUACCGCUUCACGGAUUUUAUCUGGACCAUUGCUCUCGAAGUGUAUGGAUGCAAAAUGUGUUGUGAAUGUAUUGGCUUAAAGCAUCCAAAACAAGAACUGGAAGGACUGUUCAAGCACAUACAGACACUGUUGAAAGAAAUGCUGACUAUUAUUGUCACCUGAUAAAUAAAGGUCCAGGGAGAUGAAGCUUAAGGAUUUUGUAAUAUAUAAUAGUACAAAUUAGGAGCUUAGUUUCUGACUUUCCGUUGACCCUAUAACUAAGGCCUUGUUUAGAUGCAAAAACUUUUGGGAUUUUGACACUGUAGCAUUUUCGUUUUUAUUUGAC